AUCGGGGUGCCUUGAUAACUGUGAACCACAGAAGGCUGAGAACGUACCCGUAGAACCUGAACCAGCUAAUACUGGCGUAGGAAAUGGGCGUACU
rnacentral:ncRNA from 1 species